AAAAGCAAAGCCUGAGAUAGGAAUUUAUGUGAAGAUGGUUCAUUUUGAGCAAUGAUCCCAGGAAAAGGAGUGAGGGACUCAGAAGAGUGAACAGGAAAGAAGGGGAGAGACAGUGUCACAGGUAGAAAGAUUGGCAUGUAUAACGGCUCGUCUGGGAGAGAGAGUAAAAGCAGGCUCCUGGGGUUGGAGCAUCAUUAGUGAGGAGACAAUGGAAGAGAAGUCAGAGAAGAAGCAGGGACCAGAACUGCAGGCCUUGUAGGCCCAGAGAAGGAGCCUCCUUUUAUAAAUCAGCUCCUCCAGGCGGAGCAGCAGAAGAAUCGCGGAGCAUGGACUAUGUGCUCAUUCUGUGCCUUGGAGACUCGUGGCUUCGGCCUGACCAUCACCAUGCUCUGGCACAAGCAGGGAUGCAGGACCCUCCGCUUCUCAGAUCAGGGAGGGAGACAUGGCUGUCAGGUGUAAGGCUCCACCAAAGGCGAAGGGAUAACAAAGAGGAAACAAGCAUGGGGUGUGUGGAAUCUAGAUACUGGGGCUCCUUAUACACACGCCACCAUUCAUCUGUCAGUUUGGGACUCACUGCCUAGGCCUGGAUUGGAGCCCUGCCCCAGUUCACAUAUUCACAGACUCAUUCAGAAGUGGCCUCCCAGGGCACUUAGAUCUCUGGGCUGAGGACCCUCCUCCUCUUCCUGAGCUCUAGUGCUGAUAUCCAGGACCUCUUAAAGAGCUAGAGAGAUCCAGGCCACUUCCAUAUCUCUAGGCUUCCAGAAACAUAAAAAUGAAAGUAAAGUAAAAAUAGUGUUUUAAGA